AAGGAAUUGCAUUUGUGUCAUUGGAGACAGUAGAAACAGUAUAUGGUAGAAAGUACUGGAAGUUUUCAAAGGAAAUGAAAAUCCAAGCAUAGAACAAUUAUCUGCAAUCUUCAACUAAAUGUGAAGAUAAAUGUCAAGGUUGUUAAUUUCGUCUGGCGUUGCAGAUGUUGGAUCAGUACGGUAAAGGAGGAAGUCAUCUGUGUGGUGAAUAUAACGAUGCCAUUCUUCUCCUAUGGAAUUACUGCUAUCUCAAUUUUAGGCCCGUCUUCGGUUAGGACCAACCAUCCUGGGACACAGGAAAUGUUUUCUCUGGAAUAUUAAAUUUCAAGAAUAAAAAGUAUGAUCUUGCUACUGGAUGACGGUAUUAAGUGCGACAUUUGGUAGAUCUUCUGAACCUGAUAGAGAAAUGUCCAUUCAGUCUUCACUCAACACUUCUCUGAAUUUCCAAGUAAGAUACAAAACAUUAUAAGAAGCCAGCUAACACCUGCAACUGUUGGAUAAUA